ACGGAGGUGCGAGCGUUAAUCGGAAUAACUGGGCGUAAAGGGCACGCAGGCGGUGACUUAAGUGAGGUGUGAAAGCCCCGGGCUUAACCUGGGAAUUGCAUUUCAUACUGGGUCGCUAGAGUACUUUAGGGAGGGUAGAAUUCCAGUGUAGCGGUGAAAUGCGUAGAGAUGUGGAGGAAUACCGAAGGCGAAGGCAGCCCCUUGGGAAUGUACUGACGCUCAUGUGCGAAAAGCGUGGGGAGCAAACAGGAUU
rnacentral:rRNA from 1 species